rnacentral:rRNA from 1 species
AGAACGAACGCUGGCGGCAUGCCUAAUACAUGCAAGUCGAACGAACACUUCGGUGUUAGUGGCGCACGGGUGCGUAACGCGUGGGAAUCUGCCCUUGGGUUCGGAAUAACAGUUGGAAACGACUGCUAAUACCGGAUGAUAUCGAAAGAUCAAAGAUUUAUCGCCCAGGGAUGAGCCCGCGUAGGAUUAGCUAGUGGUGAGGUAAAGGCUCACCAAGGCGACGAUCCUUAGCUGGUCUGAGAGGAUGGAUCAGCCACACGUGGGACUGAGACACGGCCCAGACUCCGUACGGGAGGCAGCAGUAGGGAUAUUAGGACAAGUGGC